AAUAUUGACCAAUGGGCGAAACCCUGAUCCAGCAAUCCCGCGGGUGUGAAGAGGGUCUNCGGCUUNUNAAGCACUUUAGGUGGGGNGGAAGGGAGGUAAGUUAAUACCUUGCUGUUUGGACGUUCCCGCCAUAUUAGGCACGGCCCACUUUCGUGCCACAACCCGGGGUAAUACGAAGGGUCCAAGCGUUAACCGGAAUUACGGGGCGUAAAGCGCGCGUAGGUGGUUUGUUUAAUUGGAAGUGAAAGCCCCGGGCUCAACCUUGGAACUGCCUUCCAAACUGGCAAAGUAGAGUAUGGCAGAGGGUGGUGGAAUUUCCUGUGUAGCGGUGAAAUGCGUAGAUAUAGGAAGGAACACCAGUGGCGAAGGCGACCACCUGGGCUAAUACUGACACUGAGGUGCGAAAGCGUGGGGAGCAAAC
rnacentral:rRNA from 1 species